rnacentral:rRNA from 1 species
CUGGCGGCGUGCCUAACACAUGCAAGUCGAACGGGGUUAGAAAGCUUGCUUUCUGGCCUAGUGGCGGACGGGUGAGUAAUGCGUGAGCAACCUGCCUGUCAGUGGGGGAUAACUUCCGGAAACGGACGCUAAUACCGCAUAUAGUACAUAAUCCGCAUGGAUAAGUGUAUGAAAGGAGCAAUCCGCUGAUAGAUGGGCUCACGUCCGAUUAGUUUGUUGGUGAGGUAACGGCUCACCAAGACUACGAUCGGUAGCCGGGCUGAGAGGCUGAUCGGCCACAUUGGGACUGAGACACGGCCCAGACUCCUACGGGAGGCAGCAGUGGGGGAUAUUGCACAAUGGGGGAAACCCUGAAUGCAGCAACGCCGCGUGAGGGGUGAAGGUUUUCGGAUUGUAAACCUCUGUCCUUAGUGAAGAAACAAAUGACGGUAACUAAGGAGGAAGCUCCGGCUAACUACGUGCCAGCAGCAGC